rnacentral:sRNA from 1 species
UGCGCGGAUAGGGUAGCUCCCGAAAAGCGCGUACCCUGCGCGCCUUCCGUGCUUUCAGCAGGGG